GACGAACGCUGGCGGCGUGCUUAACACAUGCAGGUCGAACGGAAAGGCCCUGCUUUUGUGGGGUGCUCGAGUGGCGAACGGGUGAGUAACACGUGAGUAACCUGCCCUUGACUUUGGGAUAACUUCAGGAAACUGGGGCUAAUACCGGAUAGGAGCUCCUGCUGCAUGGUGGGGGUUGGAAAGUUUCGGCGGUUGGGGAUGGACUCGCGGCUUAUCAGCUUGUUGGUGGGGUAGUGGCUUACCAAGGCUUUGACGGGUAGCCGGCCUGAGAGGGUGACCGGCCACAUUGGGACUGAGAUACGGCCCAGACUCCUACGGGAGGCAGCAGUGGGGAAUAUUGCACAAUGGGCGGAAGCCUGAUGCAGCAACGCCGCGUGCGGGAUGACGGCCUUCGGGUUGUAAACCGCUUUCGCCUGUGACGAAGCGUGAGUGACGGUAAUGGGUAAAGAAGCACCAGCUAACUACGUG
rnacentral:rRNA from 1 species